CCUACGGGUGGCUGCAGUGGGGAAUAUUGCACAAUGGGGGAAACCCUGAUGCAGCGACGCCGCGUGAGUGAAGAAGUAAUUCGUUACGUAAAGCUCUAUCAGCAGGGAAGAAAGAAAUGACGGUACCUGACUAAGAAGCCCCGGCUAACUACGUGCCAGCAGCCGCGGUAAUACGUAGGGGGCAAGCGUUAUCCGGAUUUACUGGGUGUAAAGGGAGCGUAGACGGCGAUGCAAGUCUGAAGUGAAAGGCGGGGGCCCAACCCCCGGACUGCUUUGGAAACUGUAUGGCUGGAGUGCAGGAGAGGGAAGUGGAAUUCCUAGUGUAGCGGUGAAAUGCGUAGAUAUUAGGAGGAACACCAGUGGCGAAGGCGGCUUACUGGACUGUAACUGACGUUGAGGCUCGAAAGCGUGGGGAGCAAACAGGAUUAGAUACCCCAGUAGUC
rnacentral:rRNA from 1 species